UGAGGAAUAUUGGUCAAUGGGCGUAAGCCUGAACCAGCCAAGUAGCGUGCAGGAUGACGGCCCUAUGGGUUGUAAACUGCUUUUAAGCGGGGAUAAAGUCAGGGACGUGUCCCUGUUUGCAGGUACCGCUUGAAUAAGGACCGGCUAAUUCCGUGCCAGCAGCCGCGGUAAUACGGAAGGUCCGGGCGUUAUCCGGAUUUAUUGGGUUUAAAGGGAGCGUAGGCGGGACGCCAAGUCAGCUGUGAAAUGCCGUGGCUCAACCAUGGAGCUGCAGUUGAAACUGGCGUUCUUGAGUUGUCGCAGGGGCGGUGGAACUCGUGGUGUAGCGGUGAAAUGCUUAGAUAUCACGAAGAACUCCGAUCGCGAAGGCAGCCGCCCGGUGGCCGACUGACGCUGAGGCUCGAAGGUGCGGGUAUCAAACAGG
rnacentral:rRNA from 1 species